rnacentral:lncRNA from 1 species
CAAUAUAGUUACAUAACCAGGGGCUAUGAGAACACCAGAACAGUACAACUAACCCAGCCAGUAGGCUGGGAGCAGGCAGAGGGACUUGAGGAGAGCUUCCCAAAAGAGCUGGCUCCUCAGAGGAGCAGUACGCUAUGCACCUCAAAAUUUAGUUUAACCGACGUUCAUCGACUGUCUUUCCUCCUUCUUUUCUUUUUAGCAAAAUGAACCUUCCCACACCUAAGUAUGCAUCACCAUCACCUGAAGGACUUGUAGAACCAUGAACUCCUGGGCCCCACCUCAGCAUGUCUGAUUUGGCACAUCUGGAGUGGCCCCAAGAAUCUGCAUUUCUAGCAGUGCUGGUGCUGCAGGUCCAAGGCCCUCACCCUGAGAUCCACUCAGUAAACAUUUAUGAGCAUCAACCUGAAACCAGAAAGAAGAUGAGGAACAAAAAGAGGCUGACUAGAAACAGAAGACUUUGUGACAUGUGAACAUGGCAUGAAAUUCAAAGUUCAGUGUCUGUAAAUAAGAUGUUAUUGGAAUACAGCUGGGCUCCUUCACUGAUGGUUUCCUGUAUCUAUGGAUGUGUUUUAAUAGCAGAGCUGAGUCAUUGUGACAUAGACAGAAAGGGAAUGUGGCUGGUAAAUCGUGAACUGUUUUCUAUCGGGUUCUUUACAGGAUG